UAGCUUGCUACUCUGCCGGCGAGCGGCGGACGGGUGAGUAAAGUCUGGGRAUCUGGCUUAUGGAGGGGGAUAACCAUUGGAAACGGUGGCUAAUACCGCAUGAUGUCGCAAGACCAAAGUGGGGGACCUUARGGCCUCACGCCAUGAGAUGAACCCAGAUGAGAUUAGCUAGUAGGUGCGGUAAUGGCGUACCUAGGCGACGAUCUCUAGCUGGUCUGAGAGGAUGACCAGCCACACUGGAACUGAGAGACGGUCCAGACUCCUACGGGAGGCAGCAGUGGGGAAUAUUGCACAAUGGGCGGAAGCCUGAUGCAGCCAUGCCGCGUGUGUGAAGAAGGCCUUAGGGUUGUAAAGCACUUUCAGCGGGGAGGAAGGCGGUAAGAGUAAUAUGCUUAUCRAUUGACGUUACCCGCAAAAGAAGCACCGGCUAACUCCGUGCCAGCAGCCGCGGUAAUACGGAGGGUGCGAGCGUUAAUCGGAAUAACUGGGCGUAAAGRGCAUGUAGGCGGUAAGUUAAGUCAGAUGUGAAAUCCCCGAGCUUAACUUGGGAACGGCAUUUGAGACUGGCUGGCUAGAGUUUUGUAGAGGGGGGUAGAAUUCCAGGUGUAGCGGUGAAAUGCGUAGAGAUCUGGAGGAAUACCGGUGGCGAAGGCGGCCCCCUGGACAAGGACUGACGCUGAGGUGCGAAAGCGUGGGUAGCAAACAGGAUUAGAUACCCUGGUAGUCCACGCUGUAAACGAUGUCGAUUUGGAGGUUGUGACCUAGUGUUAUGG
rnacentral:rRNA from 1 species